rnacentral:lncRNA from 1 species
AAUAUUUGCAAACCUUAAAGACAAGUAAUAGAGACUAGAAGAAAAUGAUUCAGUAAUCAGAUCACAGUGUUUUAGCUUCUCAGUGAAUGUUGCUGGACUAUGGGAAAUUUUAUAGUUUAGUUUUCUACAGGGCUACUUUCCAUGGGUGUAACUGAUUUGCAUAACUUUCCUAUGCAUGGUCAUUAGGUUUCUCUUUCCCAGCUUCCAUGUACAUUUUUUAAUAACUUAAUAAGCACUGACAUGCAGGAGAGAAUUCAUGCAUAUGUCUUUGGUGACACCCUCCGUGGGACUCUCACACCACACCUGACAGAAGAUAAUGUGGGCCCUGGUCAGAAGACUUGGUGAUUUACGCUUAGCCAGAGCGUCUUCUCCAUGCCUACCGUGGGUCUGGCACAUGGUGGGCCUUCCACACAUGUCUGUGGGCUGAUGGAUGGGGUUAACCAUCUGUGAACUGAGUGGACUGGAGCUGAUGAACUUCCUAUCAGGGGAAGAAGCCGGGCUUUCGCAUUUCUGUACCAGCCCUCGUUGGCCAAAGGCCCCCCCAGGGGCUAUGGCCCCCAGCACUUGGCAUUCUCGGCAGUGGCUCCAGCUGCUAGGCCCUGAAGAGAGUGGGGCACACUGACUGGUAAGAACACAGAAACCAGGGGAGAGGCCCAGAAAUGGCUACAGACAUCUGAGGACACCAACAGCAUCCAGCAUCUUCCCGCUCUGCAGCUGUAGAAAUGUGACCAUGUGUCCACAUUUGCACAUGCAAAAAGUCACAUUUGGAGAAUCCUGACGGGGCACCCUUGUCAUACAUUUGUCUUUAGUAAAUAUGGCUUUGCUCCCAGGAAAUACAUUUUUCCAGUGGUAAAUCUGGCUUUCAAUGACCAUGGUAUAUAUAAUUGCUGCAUUUAAGAAAUUCCAUGCAGUUGUUUCUAGGGAUAUUUGGACUUUUCUAUUCCGGUUCUACUAUGCUAUACUUGUAGAACUGGACUAGAAAAAUGCAGCUGACUACACGCUCGAUCCAAAUGUCCUCCCGAUUGGUUAUGGUAUUAACUUGGUUUAAUAUUGAUGUUUUGGACAUUAUUCACGGCAUGGUUAAAAAGCCAUAAAAAUGAAACUUGAAGCAUGUGUUCUGAACAAAUAUCUCCACAAUUAAAGAAAAACAAUUACUGAAAAUAAAAGAAACUAAAGAGGCCUAUCUCCUCA